rnacentral:rRNA from 1 species
UACGGAGGGGGCUAGCGUUGUUCGGAAUUACUGGGCGUAAAGCGCACGUAGGCGGCUUUGUAAGUUAGAGGUGAAAGCCCGGGGCUCAACCCCGGAACUGCCUUUAAGACUGCAUCGCUUGAAUCCGGGAGAGGUGAGUGGAAUUCCGAGUGUAGAGGUGAAAUUCGUAGAUAUUCGGAAGAACACCAGUGGCGAAGGCGGCUCACUGGACCGGUAUUGACGCUGAGGUGCGAAAGCGUGGGGAGCAAACGGG